rnacentral:lncRNA from 1 species
UAAACUUGAACUGCAAGUUUUAUUCUUGAAGUGGUAAUAAAAUUGUUUAGCGUACAGCAUUUUUAAAAGCACUAUAAUACUCCUUCCUGCUCCACAGGAGGAUUACAUGGUAUAAAUUAAUCAGAGACUGGUCCCUGUUAUUUUUUGUUCCCUGAUUACUCUAAUUUUGCAACCCAAAGGAAAAAAACAAACACUGAAACACAUUUUCUAAAGAAAGCUGUAAUUGAUUUCUGGGUGAGCUAGAGGAUAGUUUGGCAAAUGCUUUCUAAUCAUGAAAACAGGUUCGUUUCAUUGACUAAUACUUUACAUUAUAUAAUGCACGCACCCAAUAGAGCUGCCUGUGGUGUUUCCUACCUUAUCACCUUUUUCUCCAGCUGGCCCAGGCUGCCCAUUCUCACCUCUCUGUCCUUUUUCCCCUGGCAGACCAGCUGGUCCUAUAGAUCCCAAGGAUCCAAUUGGUCCUUGAGCUCCCAGCUCACCAGGUUGACCCUGAAAAGAGUCCAAAGAGCAGGUCUCCAGCAGUCAAGCUGACUAUAAUAAAUUCCAAGUCCUCCUGCUCUAUCAAUCUGAAGGUCCUACUAGAAGAGCAGAGGACUACCUGGAAAAGAAUCCUUGUUCAACUCAUUUUCCAUUUGCCUGUACUGGCACCCUCACUUAAACCUUAUUGUUGCUUCCAAUGAAGUCACUAGCAAAAUUUUCAGGGAAAAAUCAGCAUUCUGUCUUCAGCAACAAUUAUAGUUUUCUUGAUAGUAUAAUUUAAAGUGUAAAAAACUACAGAAAUUCAUGGCUACUAGUAGGAAAAUGUGCUGAUUCUGCAUCCUUUUUAACACUGAAUGGAUAGUUAGAAUUCCGGGUGUUAUUUGAGUAUUUGCUGGUAUGAACAAUUGCAGCUUAUCUACUGGCAGAGCUUUGUACCUCCUCUGUUGAAAAAAUGAUUUUAUUAAUUGAUGGACUUUUAAAGAAGCUAUUACAGACUCUAAUAGCUUGAUUUAAAAAAGACUGGACAACCAUUUUGAUUAAAGAUUCAUUUUGAAUAUUAGAAAAGUGAAACAAAUUAGGCUAAUAAAAUAAUAAAAUGCAAAUAUUUGAACUACCCA